rnacentral:rRNA from 1 species
GAUGUUAGCGGCGGACGGGUGAGUAACACGUGGGUAACCUGCCUGUAAGACUGGGAUAACUCCGGGAAACCGGGGCUAAUACCGGAUGCUUGUUUGAACCGCAUGGUUCAAACAUAAAAGGUGGCUUCGGCUACCACUUACAGAUGGACCCGCGGCGCAUUAGCUAGUUGGUGAGGUAAUGGCUCACCAAGGCGACGAUGCGUAGCCGACCUGAGAGGGUGAUCGGCCACACUGGGACUGAGACACGGCCCAGACUCCUACGGGAGGCAGCAGUAGGGAAUCUUCCGCAAUGGACGAAAGUCUGACGGAGCAACGCCGCGUGAGUGAUGAAGGUUUUCGGAUCGUAAAGCUCUGUUGUUAGGGAAGAACAAGUACCGUUCGAAUAGGGCGGUACCUUGACGGUACCUAACCAGAAAGCCACGGCUAACUACGUGCCAGCAGCCGCGGUAAUACGUAGGUGGCAAGCGUUGUCCGGAAUUAUUGGGCGUAAAGGGCUCGCAGGCGGUUUCUUAAGUCUGAUGUGAAAGCCCCCGGGCUCAACCGGGGAGGGUCAUUGGAAACUGGGGAAACUUGAGUGCAGAAGAGGAGAGUGGAAUUCCACGUGUAGCGGUGAAAUGCGUAGAGAUGUGGAGGGAACACCAGUGGCGAAGGCGACUCUCUGGUCUGUAACUGACGCUGAAGAGCGAAAGCGUGGGGAGCGAACAGGAUUAAAUACCCCGGUAGUCCACGCCGUAAACGAUGAGUGCUAAGUGUUAGGGGGUUUCCGCCCCUUAGUGCUGCAGCUAACGCAUUAAGCCCUCCGCCCGGGGGAGUUACGGUCGCAAGACUGAAAACUCAAAGGAUUUGACGGGGGGCCGCCCACCCGUGGAAACAUUUGGUUUA